rnacentral:rRNA from 1 species
AGGACGAACGCUGGCGGCGUGCUUAACACAUGCAAGUCGAGCGGAAAGGCCCUUCGGGGUACUCGAGCGGCGAACGGGUGAGUAACACGUGAGCAAUCUGCCCUUAGCUUCGGGAUAGCUCCGGGAAACCGGAAUUAAUACCGGAUAUGACUAUGGCUGACAUCGGCCACGGUGGAAAGUUUUUACGGCUAGGGAUGAGCUCGCGGCCUAUCAGCUAGUUGGUGGGGUAACGGCCUACCAAGGCGACGACGGGUA